UAAGCAUAUCAAUAAGCGGAGGAAAAGAAACCAACAGGGAUUGCCCUAGUAACGGCGAGUGAAGCGGCAACAGCUCAAAUUUGAAAUCUGGCCCUCGGGUCCGAGUUGUAAUUUGUAGAGGAUGCUUUUGGUGCGGUGCCUUCCGAGUUCCCUGGAACGGGACGCCAUAGAGGGUGAGAGCCCCGUCUGGUUGGACACCAAUCCUCUGUAAAGCUCCUUCGACGAGUCGAGUAGUUUGGGAAUGCUGCUCUAAAUGGGAGGUAUAUGUCUUCUAAAGCUAAAUACCGGCCAGAGACCGAUAGCGCACAAGUAGAGUGAUCGAAAGAUGAAAAGCACUUUGAAAAGAGAGUUAAAAAGUACGUGAAAUUGUUGAAAGGGAAGCGCUUAUGACCAGACUUGGGCUUGGUAGAUCAACCUGGGUUCUCCCUGGUGCACUCUUCCUCGUCCAGGCCAGCAUCAGUUCGCUGCGGGGGAUAAAGGUUUCGGGAAUGUGGCUCCCUCGGGAGUGUUAUAGCCCGUUGCGUAAUACCCUGCGGUGGACUGAGGUUCGCGUUCUGCAAGGAUGCUGGCGUAAUGGUCAUCAGCGACCCGUCUUGAAACACGGACCAAGGAGUCGUCUUCGUAUGCGAGUGUUCGGGUGUUAAACCCCUACGCGUAAUGAAAGUGAACGCAGGUGAGAGCUUCGGCGCAUCAUCGACCGAUCCUGAUGUUCUCGGAUGGAUUUGAGUAAGAGCAUACGGGGCCGGACCCGAAAGAAGGUGAACUAUGCCUGUAUAGGGUGAAGCCAGAGGAAACUCUGGUGGAGGCUCGCAGCGGUUCUGACGUGCAAAUCGAUCGUCAAAUAUGGGCAUGGGGGCGAAAGACUAAUCGAACCUUCUAGUAGCUGGUUUCC
rnacentral:rRNA from 1 species